UCACGCCUACGGGGGGCAGCAGUCGAGAAUCAUUCACAAUGGGGGAAACCCUGAUGGUGCGACGCCGCGUGGGGGAAUGAAGGUCUUCGGAUUGUAAACCCCUGUCAUGUGGGAGCAAAUUAAAAAGAUAGUACCACAAGAGGAAGAGACGGCUAACUCUGUGCCAGCAGCCGCGGUAAUACAGAGGUCUCACGCGUUGUUCGGAAUCACUGGGCGUAAAGCGUGCGUAGGCUGUUUCGUAAGUCGUGUGCGAAAGUCGCGGGCUCAACCGGCGGACGGCACAUGAUACUGC
rnacentral:rRNA from 1 species